rnacentral:lncRNA from 1 species
ACAAAGAAAAAAGGACAAGAAAAUAUGAGCAAAGCCUCCAAGGAGUCUGGCAUUCUGUUAAACGAUGAAACGUAAGACUAAUUGGUGUACCUGAGGAAGAAGUGAAUUCUAAAAGCCAGGAAAACGUAUUUGGGGGAAUAAUCAAGGAAAACUUCCGUGGCCUUGUCAGAGACCUAGACAUCCAAAUACAAGGAGCACAAAUAACACCUGGGAAAUUCAUCACAAAAAGAUCUUAGCCUAGGCACAUUGUCAUUAGGUUAUCCAAAGUUAAGACAAAGGAAAUAAUCUUAAGAGCUGUGAGACAGAAGCACUAGGUAACCUAUAAAGGAAAAUCGGCCAUCCCAGAGUCCUGACAGCUCCGUGGUGCAUGCCAAGGGGCCUGGGCCGCUGGCCGGGGGGUGCCU